rnacentral:piRNA from 1 species
CCGGACGCCGUGUACACUUCCGAU